GACUUUAUUCAACGGCCGCGGUAUCCUAACCGUGCGAAGGUAGCGUAAUCACUUGUUCUUUAAAUGAGGACUAGUAUGAAAGGCAUCACGAGGGUUCUACUGUCUCCUUUUUCUAAUUAGUGAAACUAAUCUCCCCGUGAAGAAGCGGGGAUCCAAAUAUAAGACGAGAAGACCCUAUGGAGCUUUAAAUUAUAUAACAAUUGCUACCCCCCCCCCUUUUUUUUAUUAACCAUUUAACGUCUAGCAAUUUGAUUAUAUAUUUUUGGUUGGGGUGACCGCGGAGUACAACAAAACCUCCACAUUGAAAGGACCAUGCUCCUAAGCUAAAAAUAACAACUUUAUGCAUCAGUAUACUGACAUUAAUUGACCCAAUAUAUUUGAUCAACGAACCAAGUUACCCUAGGGAUAACAGCGCAAUCUACUUUAAGAGCCCAUAUCGACAAGUAGGUUUACGACCUCGAUGUUGGAUCAGGGUGUCCUAGUGGUGCAGCCG
rnacentral:rRNA from 1 species